UUGAAGAGGGAGAUGGGGGUGGGGAAAAAAAAAGCAAAAUAAAAUAAAAUAAAUCGUAGGGGAACACAGAACGGUGCCUUGCAUAUGUGGGUGGGCAUUCUUCGUGCCGAGGAGGGCAGGGGCAAAAGCAGGGCCAGGCAGAGUGGAGAGAAGAGGAGGGUAAGUUGAGAAAGAAAGAAGAAGAAGGAAAGGAAAGGAGAGGAGAGGAGUGGUGGUACUACCAGAUUGCAAGAAGCCGAGGCUGGCCAAGGCCAGAACGUCGCGGAGCAGAGUCGGAUUAUUUUUAGCGCUUCCUACUAUUGUGCAAAGUACAAGAGUAGUCUGUCAAGCGUCUAGGCGUUCUUUGCUUUUAACGGGGGAGUCCACCGUUAGAUAUUUAACAUCCUUUCACCUUCUAUUCCUCUUCCCCCUUACCUCGUCUACUUAUUAACCGUGAUUCCUCCUCCCACAGCUUGUUUCUUUUCCUUGUACCAAUCGUCGAGUUCCUAUUCCGAUUAAAAUCGAUGAUGACUGUUGCGUUAUAAUAAUAUACAGAACCUCAGACACGCACAUACGUAUUACGAAUGUAUAUAUAUAUAUAUAUAUGUGUAUAUAGUAUAAUACGUGUAUCGUAUCAUCAUCGUACCACGCAACGACGAUCAUCGUACCAAGAGACCUUCUUGCAUUAGCUUGAAAUCGCGAAAGUGCAGACGUACUUAAAAGAAUCACGGUUAUGCAAUUCUCUCGGAUCGAUGUGACACGCAUAGAAAACGUACGAAUUGAUGGAAUGAGGAAAUAAUGAAGAAUCGAGAACGUUGAGUUAAAAUAACUGUUGGAGAAAACUUCAUGAAGGAUUUUUUAUUCUACGAUUGAGCACCUCUGUACCAGAAUGAAAAAUCAUGGAAAGAAGAAGAAGAAGAAGAAGAAAAAAAAGAGAAGGAGGAGAGACUCGUUUCACGAGUAAAACGAGUACGAAGAAGGCCUUUUUCUAGAAUACUCGAGAGAGAUUCUAGGACGGUGUGGUAGAAACAGCACGUCGAAUACAACGAUGCACAUGGCCUUAGCCUAGUUGCAGAAAAGGCCGUUCGCUGGACACGAUGACGGCUGACAAUAACAACACUAACACACAACCACCAUUACUACCAUUAGCAUUACCACCAUUACUACUACUACUACUACUACUAACACCAAUCCGACUACUAUCUCUACGACAAGAAAGUUUAAGUAAAUCAACUAAUCAGUACCACGGUGUUGUCUCGCGUACGAGUUCGUGCUCCCUUGGAUUUAUUUUUACUGGAAUAAAACCGACUGUGUUUAUACGACAUCGAAAUACACGUAGUUU